UACGGCGGGUGCAAGCGUUGCUCGGAAUUACUGGGCGUAAAGCGCGUGUAGGCGGUCUCGUGUGUCUGGCGUGAAAGCCCCGGGCUCACCCCGGGACGUGCGUUGGAAACUGCGAGACUAGAGUUCUGGAGAGGAAGGUGGAAUUCCAGGUGUAGCGGUGAAAUGCGUAGAUUUCUGGAAGAACACAGGUGGCGAAGGCUGCCUUCUGGACGGUGACUGACGCUGAGACGCGAAAUCGUGGGGAGCAAACAGG
rnacentral:rRNA from 1 species